rnacentral:rRNA from 1 species
CGCGUGAGGGAUGCGGCCUUCGGGUUGUAACCUCUUUCAGUAGGAAGAAGCGUAAGUGACGGUCCUGCAGAAGAAGCGCCGGCUAACUACGUGCCAGCAGCCGCGGUAAUACGUAGGGCGCAAGCGUUAUCCGGAAUUAUUGGGCGUAAAGAGCUCGUAGGCGGUUUGUCGCGUCUGCCGUGAAAGUCCGGGGCUCAACUCCGGAUCUGCGGUGGGUACGGGCAGACUAGAGUGAUGUAGGGGAGACUGGAAUUCCUGGUGUAGCGGUGAAAUGCGCAGAUAUCAGGAGGAACACCGAUGGCGAAGGCAGGUCUCUGGGCAUUAACUGACGCUGAGGAGCGAAAGCAUGGGGAGCGAACAGGAUUAGAUACCCUGGUAGUCCAUGCCGUAAACGUUGGGCACUAGGUGUGGGGGACAUUCCACGUUUUCCGCGCCGUAGCUAACGCAUUAAGUGCCCCGCCUGGGGAGUACGGCCGCAAGGCUAAAACUCAAAGGAAUUGACGGGGGCCCGCACAAGCGGCGGAGCAUGCGGAUUAAUUCGAUGCAACGCGAAGAACCUUACCAAGGCUUGACAUGAACCGGAAAGAUCUGGAAACAGGUCCCCCACUUGUGGUCGGUUUACAGGUGGUGCAUGGUUGUCGUCAGCUCGUGUCGUGAGAUGUUGGGUUAAGUCCCGCAACGAGCGCAACCCUCGUUCUAUGUUGCCAGCACGUGAUGGUGGGGACUCAUAGGAGACUGCCGGGGUCAACUCGGAGGAAGGUGGGGACGACGUCAAAUCAUCAUGCCCCUUAUGUCUUGGGCUUCACGCAUGCUACAAUGGCCGGUACAAAGGGUUGCGAUACUGUGAGGUGGAGCUAAUCCCAAAAAGCCGGUCUCAGUUCGGAUUGGGGUCUGCAACUCGACCCCAUGAAGUCGGAGUCGCUAGUAAUCGCAGAUCAGCAACGCUGCGGUGAAUACGUUCCCGGGCCUUGUACACACCGCCCGUCAAGUCACGAAAGUUGGUAACACCCGAAGCCGGUGGCCUAACCCCUUGUGGGAGGGAGCUUCGAAGGGGGCC